UGUACUCCAUUUCUAAGCCAUAACAGACCAAACAACCUUGCAGAAGCAGACAGAGGUCUGUCUGGAAGUAAUGGAGAAAUGUUGGAUCUGGUGGCAGUAAAUGAACAAUCUUUUCCAAACUUCACUCCAAGACGAUCUGACCAUGUGCAUCUAACUCAUAUAUAUCCUAGUGUGAACAACUACCUCACUCAAGGUAUGGGGCAUGGGAACUUCAAUAAGCACAUACAGUACAGCCACAAGAAUAGCUGUGUACUUAACAAUCUUUGUCAGAAUUAUGUGACGCAAUAUACAGUACCAGUCAAGUUUGGACACACCUACUCAUUCAACGGUUUUUCUUUAUUUUACUAUGUUCUACACUGUAGAAUAGUAGUGAAGACAUCAAAACUAUGAAUAACACAUGGAAUCAUGUAGUAACCAAAAAAGAGUUAAACAUAUCAAAAUAUAUUUGAGAUUUGAGGUUCUUCAAAGCAGCCACCCUUUGCCAUGAUGACAGCUUUACACACUCUUGGCAUUCUCUCAACCGGCAUUUUUUAUUUAUUUAAUUGAACCUUUAUUUUACUAGGCAAGUCAGUUAAGAACAAAUUCUUAUAUACAAUGACGGCCUACGAAAGGGAAAAACGCCUCCUGUGGGGACGGGUGCUGGGAUUAAAAAUAAAAAAUAAAUAAAAUAUAAAUAUAGGACAAAACACACAUAAUGACAAGAGAGACAACACAACACUACAUAAAUAGGGACCUAAGACAACAACAUAGCAAGGCAGCAACACAUGAGAACACAGCAUGGUAGCAACACAACAUGGUAGCAGCACAAAACAUGGUACAAACAUUAUUGGGCACAGACAACAGCACAAGGGAAAGAAGGUAGAGACAACAAUACAUCACACAAAGCAGCCACAACUGUCAGUAAGCGUGUCUAUGAUUGAGUCUUUGAAUGAAGAGAUUGAGAUAAAACUGUCCAGUUUGAGUGUAGGUUGCUGGUAGUCACCUGGUUCAUGAGGUAGUCACCUGGAAUUAAUUUCAAUUAACAGGUGUGUCUUGUUAAAAGUUAAUUUGUGGAAUUUCUUUCCUUCUUAAUGCAUUUGAGACAAUCAGUUGUGUUGUGACAAGGUAGGGGUGGUAUACAGAAGAUAGCCCUAUUUGGUAAAAGACCAAAUCCAUAUUAUGGCAAGAACAGUUCAAAUAAGCAAAGAGAAACAACAGUCCAUCAUUACUUUAAGACAUGAAGGUCAGUCAAACUCGAAAAUUUCAACAACUUUAAAAGUUCCUUAGAGUGGAGUCACAAAAACCAUCAAUAGCUAUGAUGAAACUGGCUCUCAUGAGGACCGCCACAAGAAAGGAAGACCCAGAGAUAGUUCUGCUGCAGAGGAUAAGUUCAUUAGAGUUACCAGCCUCAGAAAUUGCAGCCAAAAUAUAUGCUUCACAGAGUUCAAGUGACAGACACAUCUCAACAUCAACAGUUCAGAGGAGACUGCGUGAAUCAGGCCUUCGUGGUCGAAUUGCCGCAAAGAAACCACUACUAAAGGACACCAAUAAGAAGAACAGACUUGCUUGGGCCAAGAAGCACGAGCAAUGGACAUCAGACCGGUGGAAAUGGAAAUCUGUCCUUUGGUCUGAUGAGUCCAAAUUUGAGAUUUUUGGUUCCAACCGCCGUGUCUUUGUGAGACGCAGAGUAGGUGAACGGAUGAUCUCCGCAUGUGUGGUUCCCACUGAGAAGCAAGGAGGAGGGGGUGUUAUGGUGUGAGGGUGCUUUGCUGGUGACACUGUAUGAUUUAUUUAGAAUUCAAGGCAUACCUAACCAGCAUGGCUACCACAGCAUUUUGCAGCAAUACGUCCUCCCAUCUGGUUUGGGCUUAGUGGGACUAUCAUUUGUUUUUCAACAGGACAAUGGCCCAACACACCUCCAGGCUGUGUAAGGGCUAUUCGACCAAGAAGGAGAGUGAUGGAGUGCUGCAUCAGAUGACCUGGCCUCCACAAUCAACUGACCUCAACCCAAUUGAGAUGGUUUGGGAUGAGUUGGACCGCAGAGUCAGCCAACAAGUGCUCAGCAUAUGUGGGAACUCCUUCAAGACUGUUGGAAAACCAUUACAGGAGAAGCUGGUUGAGAGAAUGCCAAGAGUGUGCAAAGCUGACAUCAAAGGCAAAGGGUGGCUACUUUGAAGAAUCUCAAAUAUAAAACGUAUUGAUUUGUUUAUAACCCUUUUUUGGUUAGUACAUGAUUCCAUAUGCGACAAACACCAUCCAGUCAGCGGCAGUUCUGUGGGCAAAAACAGCUUGUUAAUGAGAGAGGUCAAAGGAGACUGGCAAGACUCGUAUUAAGCUAACAGGCGGGCCACAAACAGACAAAUAACGGAGUAGUACAACAGUGGUAAGCAGAAUGGCAUCUCAGAACACACAACUUGUUGAUCCUUGUCACGGAUGGGCUAUUGCAGCAGACGACCACACCGGGAUUCACUCCUAUCAGCUAAAAACAAGAAGAAGCAGCUCCAGUGGACAAGCGAUCACCAACGCUGGACAAUAGAGGAGUGGGAAAACAUCGCCUGGUCCAACGAAUCUCGGUUCCUGUUGCGUCAUGCUGAUGACAGUCCGGAUUUGGCAUAAGCAGCAUGAGUCCAUGGACCCAUCCUGCCUGGUACAGGCUGGUGGUGGUGGUGUACUGGUGUGGGGAAUGUUUUCCUGCACACGUUAGGGCCUUUGAUACCAAUUGAGCAACAACGUUUCCAACAUCUUGUAUAAUCCAUGCCCCGAAGAAUUCAGGCUGUUUUGGAGGCAAAGGGGGUCUGACCCGGUACUAGAUGGGUGUACCUAAUAAACUGAGUGUAUUUAGCUAUGCUUUUCAUCUUCAGGUGUUGGAGCUGCCCAGACUGCAGUACAAAUAACUAAAGCAGACGUAUGUCAUGGUAAAUGUGGAGCAUUUGAUCAAGCAUGAUCGACCAAAAAAAAUGUGUUUUUUUGCCCAAUGUCUGCACUAUUUCCUGUGCAUUCUUCUUAAAUGUAGUUAACAGAGUUUAUAUGAGAAGAUAUUAUGCUGUACCAGACUUGUGUUUGAUCAUCAAGCUUUUCAUCUCCCCUCCAGAAAUACUGGAUCUGGUGGCAGUAGAAGAACAAUCUUUUCCAAACUUCACUCCAAGACCUUCUCACCAUGUGCAUCUACCUCAUACACAUCCUACUGUGAACAACAAUCUCACUCAAGGUCAAGGGCAUGGCUCACUACAACAAGAUAUGGAGCCCUCUUGACUGAUCGAACGUUGGUAUGAAGAACCGAACACGGUGGACGAUAACAAACAGGAUCGAGAAGAAUACUGAGUUAAAGUGGCGUGAUGUUGUCGGAGCAACAGCAUAACUGAACAUCACAGACAGCAAAAUUAUGUUCAUCAGCAAAGGGGGUCAUGAAGUGGUGGUUGUCACACAACAGCGUGCUAAGUGCUGAUGUCACGCAAGACAUCACGUUAAACGUUUGACCAUAACAUACACAUACUGUAACCUUCCUAUUUGUUUUGCUUCCUGCUCCUGUGUUGUUUGUAUUGUACAGUUUGUAACGUUCCUGUAAAUAAUUAUUAAAACCUAUUUUAAGUUAAUUAAGAACAAAAAUGUGAAUGUUUUGUCCCUCUGGUUCCUAGGGAUAGCUGUCAGUAGAUCUGUAAAGUAAUUUGAUCAUUUUACUCACCACCCCUAAUAACUCUUGCCAAACAUGAUGUUUAUUCAUAAGUAAGCAGUUAACAGCAUAUACAGUUGAAGUCGGAAGUUUACAUACACUUGAGACAUAUACAUUUAAACUAAAUUUUUCACAAUUCCUGGCAUAUAAUCCUAGUAACAAUUCCUUGUCUUAGGUCAGUUAGGAUCACCACUUCAUUUUAAGAAUGUGAAAUGUCAGAAUAAUAGUAGAGAGAAUUAUUUAUUUCAGCUUUUAUUUCUUUCAUCACAUUCCCAGUGGGUCAGAAGUUUACAUACACUCAAUUAGUAUUUGGUAGCAUUGCCUUUAAAUUGUUUAACUUGGGUCAAACGUUUCGGGUAGCCUUCCACAAACUUCCCACAAUAAGUUAAGUGAAUUUUGGCCCAUUCCUCCUGACAGAGCUGGUGUAACUGAGUCAGGUUUGUAGGCCUCCUUGCUCGCACACACUUUUUCAGUUCUGCCCACAAAUUAUCUAUAGGGUUGAGGUCAGGGCUUUGUGAUGGCCACUCCAAUACCUUAACUUUGUUGUCCUUAAGCCAUUUUGCCACAACUUUUGAAGUAUGCUAGGGGUCAGUGCUUUUUCCUUGCUAAGCGGCCUUUCAGGUUAUGUCGAUAUAGGACUCGUUUUACUGUGGAUAUAGAUACUUUUGUACCUGUUUCCUCCAGCAUCUUUACAAGGUCCUUUGCUGGUGUUCUGGGAUUGAUUUGCACUUUUCACACCAAAGUACGUUCAUCUCUAGGAGACAGAACGCGUCUCCUUCCUGAGCGGUAUGGCGGCUGCGUGGCCCCAUGGUCUUUAUACUUAGUAAUGCGUACUAUUGUUUGUACAGAUGAACGUGGUACCUUCAGGCGUUUGGAAAUUGCUCCCAUGGAAGAACCAGACUUGU